GGGGGGGAGAGGAAUUCUUGCAGUUAUGCAGCUGAUGUGCAUUGUACUCAGCUGUUGCCUUGCAUCUAACUUUGCUCAGGGAGACGACUACAGUGUUUAUGAAUAUGAAACCAGAUCAAGGGGUGGUAGUGUUAAAAGAGGAGCUGGGGGUUCAGAAACAACAUUCUAUGGUGUCGAACCAUCACAAGAAAUCCCGCUUGAUCUCUAACGAAGACGAUGCGCUGCCUAUGUACAACUUUAAACGCGGCAAAAGUGUUUAACUAUUUGUCACUUUUUUACGAGAAGAUUUGCUAUUUAAGGCCAGAAUAGAGUCGAUUUUAAAAACUAUUUUGCAAUGUUUAAAACUAUUUUCUGUAAACUAGAAUAUUUCAUUUUGCAUACUUUUUUUCCAUUCUUCACUAAAACCUAUGUUUUUUUAUAAGUUUUGCCAAUUAAAUUGGAGUCUUAAGAAUAUAAACUUUUUUAGUUGUAAAACAUUAGAUUCAUUCAAAAUUAACGCUUUCUUCAUGUUCCAGUGUUCUUAAUCGUUUUGGUUUUUGGUUUUUUAAAAACUUGAUAUAACUUCCCACACUUCAAAACUGCAUUUGUUUAAAGUUUUUUUUUGUGAAAUAUUUUUAUCCCACAAAAAAAGAUAAAUCGAACCAAAAAAACGAUCUUUAAACCCGUUUUAGAUAGUUUUUGGAAUAUUUGUUUUGCAUUUAUUUCUAUCAGGGUCACAAUAUAUUUGCAACAAAUGAACCAAAGCGAUUAACAACAUUGUUAGAUAAGUAUGCGGGGCUCCAUAGUUCUAUUUUACUUUUUUUAUCAUCGGCUACAUAUAGGGGAAUAAUAUUUUUUACCCCCACCCACCGUUACACUAAAUUAACUGAAUGUCUUAGUUCUAAGUUCCUAAAAACGACUUAAAAGUUUUAAAGUUUAACAAUUGUAGUUUUGAAUUAUAGGAAAAAUCAUAGAUUUUUUAACAAUUCAUGGGAAAUAAUUUUUAAGAUUUGUAACUUUUAUGAAUAUUUUAUUUCGAAAUAUUGUUAAAAAUUUUAUCAAAUUUCCUUCUUUCUUUCAAAAGCUAGAUUCAAUUUUGUUGCUUUGACUUUGUUAAGUAAAGAAUUCUUUUUCAAACUUCUUUUCAAUGUAUUUCAAGUUUUUAGAGAUUUCUUUGUUUGUUCUCAUAUUUAGAUAAAAAGAAUUAUUCGCAAAAUAAACUUUUAAGACACGAAUUAUCUUUACAUUAAGAUUAUGAUUGUGUAUAGCGUUAUUUAUUGUUUUAAAAAUUUAGUUUUUUAAUGUAAAAAUAAUUGUUUCACACUCUUCACAAUUUAAUUUUUAGUGUCUAAUUGUAUCUUAAAAUAAUGCGAGAAAAAAUAUUGUGAAUUAAUUUUAAUUUUGUAAAAACAUGUUUAAAAUAAACGUAUUGUGAAGACACAGAAAAAAUCA